AUUGAACGCUGGCGGCAGGCCUAACACAUGCAAGUCGAACGGAGUGGCGGACGGGUGAGUAAUGUCUGGGAAACUGCCUGAUGGAGGGGGAUAACUACUCGAAAGAGUGGCUAAUACCGCAUACUAUUGUAGCGGCCGAUAUCGGAUUAGCUAGGUGGUGGGGUAAAGGCUCCCAAAGGCAAAGCGCCGUAGCUGGUUUGUGAGGACGACCAGCCACACUGGGACUGCGACACGGCCCAGACUCCUACGGGAGGCAGCAGUGGGGAAUUUUGGACAAUGGGGGAAACCCUGAUCCAGCCAUCCCGCGUGUAUGAUGAAGGCCUUCGGGUUGUAAAGUACUUUUGGCAGAGAAGCGGUAUCUGCAGAAUAAGCACCGGCUAACUACGUGCCAGCAGCCGCGGUAAUAC
rnacentral:rRNA from 1 species